CUGGCGUGCGAUUCUUGUAGUGUAAUACCUCGCGUGUUACAUCACAAAACUAGUCAGUGAGCCAUGAUUAACAUGAUUUCUUCAUCUUUCAAAAAAUACGACUUUUCUCUUCUUAACAAGACAUAUUGAUGAUAUGAACGACUAGGGGGGCUUACCCGUUCUGAAGAGAGGGCGCUAUCUUCUGUAAGAAGAACAAAAGGCAGUAGCGUCAUUAGUAAAGCUGAUUCGUGAGUUACACAUGAAGCGUAAACUUGAACGUCACAAUUCUACAACAGUGUUUAACAUUGGAGUAGAAUUACUAUAGACAGACAGUAAAGGACAAGCUUGUAUUUCUUGUGCAACAUCAAUCACCGAGGAACGCCUGAGAGAAUCACACUUCCAUAAUGGCACAGCAACGACAAGCGUGGGACGGAGGAAAAGAGCGAGAAUUGCAGAGGAAACGACAUUUGGAAGCUAUGAUGAUUAAUAGACGCACUUUUGAAGACCGCAAACGUGAUGUAAAAACUUGGCUCGAUCGAAUCGAGAAUAGGGUAGAAAGACUUCCCCCUGUCGGCCAAACUCUGGAUGUUCUUGAAGUCCAAGUGAAAGAACAAAAGAUACUUCAGAAUGAGAUUCAUCAGUGGAACCCGGAUAUGGAAAGUUUAAGCCGAUUGGCUGAUAAGGUGGCCAGUGACAAUCCUCACGAUGACAUAUUGCAGUUGAGGGAUAUAACCGAAGAAAUAUAUCAAAGAUAUAUGCAAUUAUCUUCACGUCUUCAAGCAAGAAGUAAAGCUUUGCAAAACGCAGUCAACUCCUUACAACAACUGGAUAAAGCUCUGGACAGGUUUCUCGCUUGGUUAUCAGAAGCAGAGUCAACUUUCGAAAUUCUCGAGUCUGAAGCAGAAAAGUAUGGUCUGCGAGAAGACAUGCAACAAGUCAGGGGAUGGCCAGAAAAAGUCAGAGAGCUCCAAAGGGAAAUCGAGAGCCAACGUGACCUACACUUGACCCUAAACGAACGAAGUGGUCAGCUUCUCCAGAGCUUCGAAAGCCAAGAUGACGCUCUGCUUUUGAGAAGGAAAUCGGAGGAGAUGAAUCAGAGAUGGAACGCCUUGCGUCUCAAAACUGUCUCUCUCAGAAAUCGUCUCGAGAAAAAUGCAGAGCAGUGGAAUCAAUUACUCCUUUCCUUACGAGAACUUACUGAAUGGGUUAUAAAAAAAGAAACCGAACUUGCCGCCCAACCUGCGCUUGGUGGCGACGUCACUAGUAUUCUUAAACAACAAGACGAACAUCGUGCGUUCCGCAGACAGCUAGACGACAAACGCCCUGUGAUCGAGAGUAGCCUUCUGGCGGGAAGACACUACAUUACUAAGGAACCACCGCUUUCAGACACCAGUGACUCAGAAGCCAAAGAUUACGAGACUGAAAGUAGGGGAUACCGUAGUGCAGAGGAACAAGCAAGGGAAAUUGCGCGCAGCAUCCGGAGAGAGGUUAAGAAGCUUUCGGAUAAGUGGAACGCUCUCUUGGCCCAUACUGAUCAGCGCCAUAAAUGGAUAGACGAUGUGUUAACAAAAAUGAAGAUGCUUCAAAGAACUAUGGAAGAAAUGAAUUCCAAUCUUCAAGCAGCAGAAGCAACCAAAGUCAAGUGGCCUCCAAUUUCCGAGUUUGUGUUAGAUCAAAUGCAAGAACACUUAAACGAGAUACAGAAUUUCAAAGAGCGGGUGGCACCUUUACAUCAGCAUUUAGAAGAAGUAAAUGAAGCUGCUGGUCGCAUAACUGGGUGCAAUGUUCUACUUUCUCACGCCAAUCUUAAUCGACUUGAAGAAUUGAACACUAGAUGGCGUCUCUUGCACUUGGCCAUAGAAGACCGACGUAAACAACUAGAGGGUUCCCUGAAAGAUCAAAGUUUGGCACAAAACUUUUUAAAUGCUUCAGUGGAUGAGCCAUGGGAAAGAGCUGUUUCAGGAAACAAAGUGCCUUACUACAUCAAUUCCUUAUCUUCAUCUAGUCACCUAAGUGAGACAACACACUGGGAUCAUCCAAAAAUGAUUGAGUUAAUGGAGUCAUUAGGUGAAUACAAUGAAGUCAGAUACUCUGCAUACAGGACUGCUAUGAAACUACGAACUGUGCAAAAACAGCUGUGUUUGGCUUUCCUGAACUUAAAUAACAUCAUCAAUGCGUUUGAUCAGCAUGGUCUUCGAGCUCAGAAUGAUAAGCUUAUCAGCAUCACAGAAAUGAUUACAUGUCUUUCAACAAUCUAUGAGAGUGUAUCCAGUGAACCAGGUUUUUUGGUCAACAAACCUCUAAGUAUAGACAUGUGUUUAAACUGGCUGUUGAAUUUGUUUGACACUUCAACUAGAACAGGCUAUAUUCGUAUCCUUUCCUUCAAAAUUGGUGUCAUACUUCUAUGUCAUGGAACCCUCGAGGACAAGUUUAGAUAUUUGUUCCGGCUGAUAGCAGAUGUAAAUGGUUGUGCUGAUGAACGUAAGCUUGGUCUUCUUCUUCAUGACUGUGUACAGAUUCCCAGGUUGCUGGGAGAAGUAGCUGCCUUUGGAGGAAGUAACAUUGAACCCAGUGUGCGAAGUUGUUUUGAAAAGGGAAAUAACAAGAAAGAAAUUCAAGUAACACAUUUCCUCAAUUGGCUCCAACAAGAACCCCAGUCUCUUGUGUGGCUUCCAGUUCUGCACAGACUUGUAGCUGCAGAGAAUGCCAAGCAUCAGGCCAAAUGUAACAUCUGUAAACAGUAUCCAAUUAUUGGAUUUAGAUACCGAUGCCUGAAGUGCUUCAAUUUUGACCUCUGCCAGAACUGUUUCUUCUCAGGAAGGAAAGCUAAAGGCCAUAAACUUUCUCAUCCCAUGCAUGAAUACUGUGUGAUAACUACUUCUGGAGAGGACAUGAGAGACUUCACAAGAAUAGUUCGUAAUAAAUUCAAAUCUAAACGCCAUUUUAAAAAACAUCAUCGGAUGGGUUAUCUUCCUGUUCAGACAGUUCUGGAAGGUGACGAUUUAGAAAGUCCAGCACCGUCUCCACAACAUGCAGUUUCUUCAAAAGAAAUGCAUUCCCGUUUAGAGCUGUAUGCUAACAGGCUUGCAGAAGUAGAAUUAUGUACACAGAAUGUCUCCACACCUGAUUCAAGUGAGGAUGAACACCAAUUGAUAGCUCAGUAUUGUCAAACACUUUCUGAAGAAAAUGUGCAAUCCAUUCCCCGAAGUCCAGCCCAAGUUUUGGCUGCUGUAGAUGCUGACCAUCAAAAAGAGUUAGAAACCAUGAUUCAUCAGCUGGAGGAAGAAAACAGAAACCUCCAUGCUGAGUUUGAGAUUCUCCAAGGAAAACAGGCUGUACAGGGAAUGUCACCUCCAACCACAGAUGAUGUUUGUGAUGAGACCUUAUACACUUCAAGUCGUAAUGAAGAAAUGUUGGCUGAGGCAAAGCUCCUUAGGCAACACAAAGGCCGACUUGAAGCCAGAAUGCAGAUACUAGAAGAUCACAAUUGUCAGUUGGAAGCCCAGCUGCAACGACUUCGAAAACUUUUGAAUGAGCCAUCGUCUGGUUCAUUACAUGGUAACUCAGUUUUGCUGCAGAGCACCCCUUACACAACUCCUCAAUCUUCUCUUCACCAUGGACGAAGCCAUUCUACUGACUAUACACCUCGGAGGAAUGGUGUUGCCUCAGAGCCAGAAAAGGUGUGUGCAAAAGCAAUCUUAAUGUGAAAAACCAUGUUGCAGUAUUUCUGACAGCUCUGAAGUUCCUAAUUCUUAAACUCUUUUAAAUUUUGCAAAUAGCCCUAAAAAAAUUAAAAGUAAAAAAAAAACAACCUGUUUUGUUUCCGGUCUUCUUGGAAUGUAAUUUUGAUGAUGUCACUAUGACCUAAUGUGAUGAACUGGUGGUUUUCGUGGGUGUGGAUUGAGCAGGAAAUCAUUUAGCUGCAAGAUCAACUGGAGUAGACAGUCUGUUCCAUAUGGCAGGUAGUCUGGGCAAAGCUGUUGGUUCAUUAGUUAAUGUGAUGACAGAUGAUGAGGAAAAUGGAUCAGAAGAAGAAAUUAAACACUGACAAUAGUU
rnacentral:misc_RNA from 1 species